rnacentral:rRNA from 1 species
UUAGAGUUUGAUCCUGGCUCAGGAUGAACGCCGGCGGUGUGCCUAAUACAUGCAAGUCGUACGCACUGGCCCAACUGAUUGAUGGUGCUUGCACCUGAUUGACGAUGGAUCACCAGUGAGUGGCGGACGGGUGAGUAACACGUAGGUAACCUGCCCCGGAGCGGGGGAUAACAUUUGGAAACAGAUGCUAAUACCGCAUAACAACAAAAGCCACAUGGCUUUUGUUUGAAAGAUGGCUUUGGCUAUCACUCUGGGAUGGACCUGCGGUGCAUUAGCUAGUUGGUAAGGUAACGGCUUACCAAGGCGAUGAUGCAUAGCCGAGUUGAGAGACUGAUCGGCCACAAUGGAACUGAGACACGGUCCAUACUCCUACGGGAGGCAGCAGUAGGGAAUCUUCCACAAUGGGCGCAAGCCUGAUGGAGCAACACCGCGUGAGUGAAGAAGGGUUUCGGCUCGUAAAGCUCUGUUGUUGGAGAAGAACGUGCGUGAGAGUAACUGUUCACGCAGUGACGGUAUCCAACCAGAAAGUCACGGCUAACUACGUGCCAGCAGCCGCGGUAAUACGUAGGUGGCAAGCGUUAUCCGGAUUUAUUGGGCGUAAAGCGAGCGCAGGCGGUUGCUUAGGUCUGAUGUGAAAGCCUUCGGCUUAACCGAAGAAGUGCAUCGGAAACCGGGCAACUUGAGUGCAGAAGAGGACAGUGGAACUCCAUGUGUAGCGGUGGAAUGCGUAGAUAUAUGGAAGAACACCAGUGGCGAAGGCGGCUGUCUGGUCUGCAACUGACGCUGAGGCUCGAAAGCAUGGGUAGCGAACAGGAUUAGAUACCCUGGUAGUCCAUGCCGUAAACGAUGAGUGCUAGGUGUUGGAGGGUUUCCGCCCUUCAGUGCCGGAGCUAACGCAUUAAGCACUCCGCCUGGGGAGUACGACCGCAAGGUUGAAACUCAAAGGAAUUGACGGGGGCCCGCACAAGCGGUGGAGCAUGUGGUUUAAUUCGAAGCUACGCGAAGAACCUUACCAGGUCUUGACAUCUUGCGCUAACCUUAGAGAUAAGGCGUUCCCUUCGGGGACGCAAUGACAGGUGGUGCAUGGUCGUCGUCAGCUCGUGUCGUGAGAUGUUGGGUUAAGUCCCGCAACGAGCGCAACCCUUGUUACUAGUUGCCAGCAUUAAGUUGGGCACUCUAGUGAGACUGCCGGUGACAAACCGGAGGAAGGUGGGGACGACGUCAGAUCAUCAUGCCCCUUAUGACCUGGGCUACACACGUGCUACAAUGGACGGUACAACGAGUCGCAAGCUCGCGAGAGUAAGCUAAUCUCUUAAAGCCGUUCUCAGUUCGGACUGUAGGCUGCAACUCGCCUACACGAAGUCGGAAUCGCUAGUAAUCGCGGAUCAGCAUGCCGCGGUGAAUACGUUCCCUGGGCCUUGCACUCACCGCCCGUCA